AACGCUCCACCAAUUGCUCCCAACCUCUUACAAAUCUCUCUCGGUUCCCACCACCGCCCACUCAACUCAUCAUUAUUUUCACGACCUUCAUAAACAUCAAAUUCUCCUUCACAUACCAUAUUAGAAAAGAAACAACCCCAACAAACCCUAGUGGCUAACCAGAUAUCCCUCAUUACCAUCAACACUCAGCAACCAUACCCAAAUUGGAAUCAUACAAAAAUCAGAAUGAACCCACACAACCUCAUUUCGGGUUAUCUGGUUCUAGGGGCUCGGAGCAUUCGCUAUAAGAUCCAAACGAUGGGAGUGCAGCGGAGGUUGAGGAGAGUAACAUGUUCCAAGCUCGGGGUGACCUAACAUUGAACGACGACAAAUCAGAGUUUUUAUCUUUAAUCUUUUGUUCAGGGUUUUGAGUGUUCUGAUCAUUUUCUAAGGAAAUCUAAAUCAUAGGAUGAAGAGAGGAGCAGGAGAGCUUCGUUUCGGUGUUAGAAGGGGGUUG
rnacentral:lncRNA from 1 species